rnacentral:tRNA from 2 species
GCCCAGAUAGCUCAGUCGGUAGAGCAGCGGAUUGAAAAUCCGCGUGUCGCUGGUUCGAUUCCGGCUCUGGGCACCA